GACGAACGCUGGCGGCGUGGAUUAGGCAUGCAAGUCGAACGGUAUCAUCCUUUCGGGGGUGAGAGAGUGGCGAACUGGUGAGUAACACGUAGGUUAUCUACCCUCAAGACGGGGACAACCCAGGGAAACUUGGGCUAAUACCGGAUGUGAGCAACUUUUAGUUGUUUGAAAGGUGGCGUAAGCUGUCGCUUGGGGAUGAGCCUGCGUCCUAUUAGUUAGUUGGUGAGGUAACGGCUCACCUAGGCAAUGAUAGGUAGGCGGCCUUAACGGGUGGUCGCCCACACUGGGAUUGAGAUACGGCCCAGACUCCUACGGGAGGCAGCAGUCGAGAAUAGUCUACAAUGGCCGAAAGGCUGGAUAGUGCGACGCCGCGUGAACGAAGAAGCCCUUCGGGGUGUAAAGUUCUUUUAUAUGUGAGCAGUGCUUUUCUAUGUGAACAGCAUGGGGAAGAGAUAUUAGCAUAUGAAUAAGCAACGGCUAACUCCGUGCCCAGCCAGCCGCGGUAAAACG
rnacentral:rRNA from 1 species